UUGUCUUUCAAUCAUGCCUCAACGGAGCAUCAGUUUGACGUGAUUUUUGGCAAGGAUAUAGUGAAAGACCUGGAGAUUCACAUAGGCUAAUUUUUAUCCCGGAAAA